CUGUUAUUGUGCACAGACGGCUUGAUGUCUUUGUGAAGCGUUAAACACACAGUGAACCUACAACAGGUCGGACGUGUUUGUGCCUCAUCAUUUUGUCAUCCAGCUCCUUCCUGAUGCGUGCCGUGAGAUCAGACCGGGUGUUUUCUUCCACUCCAGGGCUGCAGUGCUACGAGAGGCAUCUCAUCCCAGAGGGGAGGUGACAGUCAGGAACAAAAGGAAGCAAUGUCGUCAGGUCUGCACGUCCGUCUUCCCCGCUCCAAAAAAAAGCUGUCAGUUAAUGUUAGGGGUGAUUGUGAAGAGAGGCUGGUGGAUAACAUGGAAAACAAGUUUCUACAGCUUUGUUAAUGAGCUGCGUUAGUGAUUAUAGAAAUAUGGCUGAUAAAUAUCAGAAUGCACUAAAACGGGAAGGAAACUUUAAACUUCAGGAAGAUAGAAACUAUCAUAGAAAACCAAACAGCCAAUCAGUGGGAUGGAGAAGAAGAUUAAAGACAUACGACACACAAACAGCCAUAAACAUGAUAUACAAACAAUAUUCAUAUAUGCAUGUGAUGUGUGCAACCAACACCAACAGACCAAGACACAUGUGCUAUAAUAAAAUGUUGAAUACCUGAGAACUCAAAGUUGUAUUGUGUUUGGAUUUGUCCAGCUAAGGAGGAAUCUAAGUAACGACAACCUUGUUGACACUUUCAGUAAUAGCAUCAGUAAAACCUGUGGAUGUGUUACCUCCUCACUUUCAUGUUAAGUGUGACAAUGUGUUCUGUUUAUCACCUCCUCUGUAUUCCUCUCAUCUCUCCUGCCGCCUCAAUAAAGAAAAAUAAAAUGCUGCAUUGGCAUCCUCGUUUCCCCUUUGGGAGCACAGGGAAAGAUGGUG